rnacentral:rRNA from 1 species
CCUACGGGAGGCAGCAGUGAGGAAUAUUGGUCAAUGGACUAGAGUCUGAACCAGCCAAGUAGCGUGAAGGAUGACUGCCCUAUGGGUUGUAAACUUCUUUUAUAUGGGAAUAAAAUGUUCCACGUGUGGGAUUUUGUAUGUACCAUAUGAAUAAGGAUCGGCUAACUCCGUGCCAGCAGCCGCGGUAAUACGGAGGAUCCGAGCGUUAUCCGGAUUUAUUGGGUUUAAAGGGAGCGUAGGUGGAUUGUUAAGUCAGUUGUGAAAGUUUGCGGCUCAACCGUAAAAUUGCAGUUGAAACUGGCAGUCUUGAGUACAGUAGAGGUGGGCGGAAUUCGUGGUGUAGCGGUGAAAUGCUUAGAUAUCACGAAGAACUCCGAUUGCGAAGGCAGUUCACUGGACUGCAACUGACACUGAGGCUCGAAAGUGUGGGUAUCAAACAGGAUUAGAUACCCCAGUAGUC